GCCAAGGUGGCGGAGCGGCUACGCAAUCGCCUGCAGAGCGGUUUUAUUCCGGUUCGAAUCCGGACCUUGGCU
rnacentral:tRNA from 2 species